UACGUAGGGGGGCAAGCGUUGUCCGGAUUUAUUGGGCGUAAAGAGCUCGUAGGUGGUUCGGUAAGUCGGAUGUGAAAUCUCCAGGCUCAACCUGGAGGGGUCAUUCGAUACUGCCGUGACUAGAGGUCGGUAGGGGAGUGUGGAAUUCCUGGUGGAGCGGUGAAAUGCGCAGAUAUCAGGAGGAACACCCGGUGGCGAAGGCGGCUUUCUGGACGACAACUGACGCUGAGACGCGAAAGCGUGGGGAGCGAACAGG
rnacentral:rRNA from 1 species